rnacentral:misc_RNA from 1 species
AGAGCAUCAAGAACUACAGGUUCUUCUUUUUGAUCCAUCGACAUCAAUCCUAAGUUUCCUGAGCUCUGGUGCACCCUUUUUAACCCUCUACCGUCUAAUCCUGUUGUGUCGAAAGCAAGAAGAUUGUCUACGGUACCAAAACCAACUCUCGCGGUACUACUGAAGACUCUCCUCAACUUUAAAUUAGAAGAAAGAAGUUGAGAUGCCGCAUCCAGUGGACGUUCAGGCCAAUCCAAUCUACUGUCACAAUCAAUGCCAUAUAUCCUCUUUAAAUGCAGAUUUUUCCCUAAGUUGAUAGUAUUAUUCUCGAAAAUCAGAGCUGUGUCGAUUGAUGCCUCAUCUUCCAUUCUAUCCAGUUCAGGAGCAUCAACCACAUCUGCAAUUAUGUCAUCAGCAGAAGAAGUCCUUAAAACUGGAGAAGGCGGAGCACUGUAACUCUUGAGCUUCGUUUCAGGUUCCUCCGUCCUGUUUAAUGUUCUUCGUAUGAUCGCCUCCCAUUUCGGAACUGGCCUUCUAUUUUCUGCUCCCAG